UAUAUUUUAAUUUUGUUAAUUAACUUAGCAAAUUAAAGAAAUCUCGUGAGUUUAUUCCAUUUAUUUCAGUAAAUCAAUUGCGUUAUUAUACUACAAGUUACAAUCAUUUCAUUUAAUAUGGUCGGAUUACGAUUGAUUGAAAAGUAUUAUAAUCACUAUUAUUAUUAUUAUUAUUAUUGUUGUUGUGGUCAAGCGUUUCGUUGAUUUUUAUGUUUUUGUGUACAUUCAUGAUAUCACCCGACACCACUCAGGUCGUCGGUUUUCUGGGGAGGGAUGGCACAGCUAUUUAGUACGACUCUUUGCCCAUAGAGGUGUCACAUGCUCAAUGACCCUGAACGGGGGUUGCUGAGACACAAUAGUCCUGGUGCCGAUUGCCCUACCCAGCCCUGCCCCCACCCGAGUCCCUUGCUCCCUUAACGUCACCGCCAAGCCAAUAUAAUAAUAGACUAAAGUGGAUUGGUGGGUUUUGGGGGGGGAAAGGUACAACAGUGGACCACGCCCGAUGCUCUCUCGCAGGAGAUAAAAUAUUGUUCAAAGUGCCCCCCCCCCCCCCCCUCCGCCUCUUGCUUUUCUUAUCCCAGUGGGCCUUGUGAGCAUGAGUGGAAUUCACCAGGCUCUCUGCCCAGGUGGGUCCAGACUUGCCUCUGCUUGUCUCGGAUGGCUCGCUAUCAUCUGAGGAAUGUGGAUGAGGGAUGGCUGGCCUGCCCGUGAUGGGCCACAGAGAUGGACAAUGUCUGCUCGGAAAAGAUGCUUCCACCGAACGCGCCAGCCUCAUGUUGACGGAGACGGUACAAGGAUUCGCUCCUUCCUUCAUCAAUAAGCCAUCAGUAUUGAUGGCCAGCUGAGUACACUCGGAGCAUCAAUAGGUGAUCUAAUAUUCGGGAGUGGGGGGAGUCCAAGGCCUGUGUGGCAGGGAGAGACAUGAAAACAAGGCCAAAACAGAGCAAGGAGUGCUUGACAGAGAGAAAAGCCCAGAAAGCGAGCCCGAGCGAGAUGAGGCAGAAAGGGGCUCGGCAGGUGGUGGGCACCGGCGCUGCUUCAGCCCGCCGACUCUUUUCAGCUGGCACACAACUGCUCGGCUGCCACUGAGGCCCUGCUUUCCAUCAGAAUAUUCCCCCCGUCUCUUUCCCCUCUUGAAAGCAUCAACGAGGAGAACAGGCUUGGGCCGGAAUAAUAGGAUCUUUUCUUUCCGCCUCUGCCAUGUGUGAGGACGCCAACAAUGGACCAGAGCGGGAGGGGAAAUGAUUCAAAGUGAGAUUUUCACCUGCUCCCAUUCACAGCAUGCUAAUGCCAGUUCAUCUUCCAAACAGCCCUACUGUAAGCUCACACAUACACACACUUGGAUCCUUUUUUUUCCCCUCUCUCUCUCUCUUGUAAUGGACAUUUCAGAUGAUUGUACUGCCAGAAGACCAUUUUGGUAAUCACACUCAUUAUCAUCAUUAAGCCAUUUUAGGAGCUAAGAAUAAAUAGCUGAAAGGCUUUGCGCUACGGUCCGCAUUUCAUGUUUGUUUUAUUUUUUUGUUCCACACUCGGUGAAAGAUACUAUUUUCUUCUUCUUUUUUUGAGCACUAAAUACAAGCCAACUUUGAGAUAAUUCUCGCCCACUCAUCAUCUGUAAACACCCUUUUCCCAGGCACAUGGUGUAGUUUAGCAUUA